AUUGAACGCUGGCGGCAGGCCUAACACAUGCAAGUCGAGCGAAGCCUUCGGGCUUAGCGGCGGACGGGUGAGUAACGCGUGGGAACGUGCCCUUUGGUACGGAAUAGCCCCGGGAAACUGGGAGUAAUACCGUAUGUGGUCGAGAGACGAAAGAUUUAUCGCCAAAGGAUCGGCCCGCGUUGGAUUAGGUAGUUGGUGGGGUAAUGGCCUACCAAGCCGACGAUCCAUAGCUGGUUUGAGAGGAUGAUCAGCCACACUGGGACUGAGACACGGCCCAGACUCCUACGGGAGGCAGCAGUGGGGAAUCUUAGACAAUGGGGGAAACCCUGAUCUAGCCAUGCCGCGUGAUCGAUGAAGGCCUUAGGGUUGUAAAGAUCUUUCAGUGGGGAAGAUAAUGACUGUACCCACAGAAGAAGCCCCGGCUAACUCCGUGCCAGCAGCCGCGGUAACAC
rnacentral:rRNA from 1 species